rnacentral:rRNA from 1 species
GAUGAACGCUGGCGGCGUGCCUAAUACAUGCAAGUCGAGCGAAUGGAUUAAGAGCUUGCUCUUAUGAAGUUAGCGGCGGACGGGUGAGUAACACGUGGGUAACCUGCCCAUAAGACUGGGAUAACUCCGGGAAACCGGGGCUAAUACCGGAUAACAUUUUGAACCGCAUGGUUCGAAAUUGGAAGGCGGCUUCGGCUGUCAAUUAUGGAUGGACCCGCGUCGCAUUAGCUAGUUGGUGAGGUAACGGCUCACCAAGGCAACGAUGCGUAGCCGACCUGAGAGGGUGAUCGGCCACACUGGGACUGAGACACGGCCCAGACUCCUACGGGAGGCAGCAGUAGGGAAUCUUCCGCAAUGGACGAAAGUCUGACGGAGCAACGCCGCGUGAGUGAUGAAGGCUUUCGGGUCGUAAAACUCUGUUGUUAGGGAAGAACAAGUGCUAGUUGAAUAAGCUGGCACCUUGACGGUACCUAACCAGAAAGCCAUGGCUAACUACGUGCCAGCCGCCGCCGUAA